UGCCAGCCGCCGCGGUAAUACGGAGGGUGCAAGCGUUAUCCGGAAUCAUUGGGUUUAAAGGGUUCGUAGGCGGGCAAUUAAGUCAGAGGUGAAAUCCCACAGCUCAACUGUGGAACUGCCUUUGAUACUGGUUGUCUUGAGUCAUACUGAAGUAGAUAGAAUGUGUAGUGUAGCGGUGAAAUGCAUAGAUAUUACACAGAAUACCGAUUGCGAAGGCAGUCUACUAAGUAUGUACUGACGCUGAUGGACGAAAGCGUGGGGAGCGAACAGGAUUAGAUA
rnacentral:rRNA from 1 species